CUCGUAGGCGGUUCGUCGCGUCCGGUGUGAAAGUCCAUCGCUUAACGGUGGAUCUGCGCCGGGUACGGGCGGGCUGGAGCGCGGUAGGGGAGACUGGAAUUCCCGGUGUAACGGUGGAAUGCGUAGAUAUUGGGAAGAACACCAGUGGCGAAGGCGGCUUUCUGGACUGUAACUGACGCUGAGGCUCGAAAGCUAGGGUAGCGAACG
rnacentral:rRNA from 1 species